GAUGAACGCUAGCGGGAGGCUUAACACAUGCAAGUCGAGGGGCAGCACGAGGUAGCAAUACUUUGGUGGCGACCGGCGCACGGGUGAGUAACGCGUAUGCAACCUACCCUGUACAGGGGGAUAACCCGGAGAAAUUCGGACUAAUACCCCAUAAUGAUAUCUGGAGGCAUCUUUAGAUAUUUAAAGUUCCGGCGGUACGGGAUGGGCAUGCGUAACAUUAGCUAGUUGGUAAGGUAACGGCUUACCAAGGCUUUGAUGUUUAGGGGUCCUGAGAGGGUGAUCCCCCACACUGGUACUGAGACACGGACCAGACUCCUACGGGAGGCUG
rnacentral:rRNA from 1 species